UACGUAGGGGGCAAGCGUUGUCCGGAUUUAUUGGGCGUAAAGAGCGUGUAGGCGGUCAGGUAGGUCCGUUGUGAAAACUCGAGGCUCAACCUCGAGACGCCGAUGGAAACCAUCUGACUAGAGUCCGGAAGAGGAGAGUGGAAUUCCCGGUGUAGCGGUGAAAUGCGCAGAUAUCGGGAAGAACACCCGUGGCGAAGGCGGUUCUCUGGGCUGUAACUGACGCUGAGGAGCGAAAGCAUGGGGAGCGAACAGG
rnacentral:rRNA from 1 species